rnacentral:hammerhead_ribozyme from 1 species
ACCUUGCUGACGAGUGCCAGGUAGCACGAAACCCGGGUCCAAGGU